ensembl:antisense Rab10os RAB10, member RAS oncogene family, opposite strand
CGCUGUGCGAGACAUGUCGGCGGGGUUUCACGUGAGUGACACUUGGUCCCCAUGGGAUUGACAGCGACUAGCGGAGUGGCAUGUGGACGUAGCUUCAGGUGACCUCACUGACCCCGCCCCUGACUCCACCCCUUGUGAUGACCCCACCACUGACCCACAGGCCUUGGAGGGGCUGAUCCUGGAGAAGCCAAAGGACCAGGAGGAUGCCAUGGGGGUGCUGUACAGGCUGAGCAGGAAGCAGAGCAGCACAGCGUCAUCAUGAGGGUAGCCAUCUUCACCUGGGGCAUCCACGGAGGAGGAGCUGAUCCACGACUACUUGGACACCAGCACACCAGCGAAGGAUGGGACAAGGCCUGGGGCCUACGCCAUCCAUGUGUGGGGAGUGAUGCUGGUAGAGGGCAAAUUGGUGACGUCAUCAAUGCAGCGGGCUUCCCACUCAACCACUUUAGCCGCAAGCUUGCAAGGGCAGCUGCCAGAGACAGGAAGUGACAUCGCUGUGGAGAGGGCAGCAGGAAGUGAGGUCAGAGUGGGGGUGAUGGGAAGUAAUGUCAUGGGCUCAGGAAGUGAUGUGCUGCUGCUCUACAUGUGUACGUAUAUGCCUGGUCUGUGAUGCUGCAGAAUAUGUGUACAUGUGUGCUGGGUGUGGGAUGUACAUGUAUGCCUCAUGUUUGCCUGGUGUGUGAUGCCACUUUACAUGUGAUCCAGGUGUGAGAUGAUGCUGUACAUGUAUACAUGUGUACCUGGU